AAAGAACGCUGGCGGCAUGCAUAACACAUGCAAGUCGAACGAGACCUUCGGGUCUAGUGGCGCGCGGGUGCGUAAAGAGUGGGAAUCUGCACUUCGGUUGGGAAUAAAUGAGAGAAAUUUCAGGUAAUACUUUAUAAUGUCUUCGGACCAAGGAUUUAUCGCCGAGGGAUGAGCCCGCGUAGGAUAAGGUAGAUGGUGGGGUAAUGGCCUACCAAGCCGACGAGCCUUAGCUAGUCUGAGAGGAUGCUCCGCCACACUGGGACUGAGACCCGGCCCAGACUCCUCCGGAAGGCAGCAGUGGGUUUUUUUGUACUAUCCCCGAGAGUCUGUUCCAGCCCUCCCGCGUCACUGAUAAAGUCCUUAGGGUUGUACUGUUCUGUUACCCGGGAUGAUAAUGACAGUACCGUGAGAAUAAGCUCCCGCUUACUCCGUG
rnacentral:rRNA from 1 species